rnacentral:lncRNA from 1 species
GAGCAACUGCCAGCCGAGGCUCACGCAUGGCUAUGACCAUCUACAGCCCUGCCAUCAGGAGGCAAGAGCAAAGCUGAACUUCGCAGGGAGGAGCAAGCAGAAACCUCAGGAGCGUUUCCAUGGUCAGCUCGGAGCUCUGCUUGGAGAGGAGGAAGAGUGGGAGAGGAGGAAGGGGUGCCCUGCACGGAGCAGCACCCAGCUCCGCUCGGGACCUUCUCCCACGGCAGCCCCGGGGGGUGCCAAGCCAUCGCGGCGGAGCGGCGGGAGAGAAAACCACCGAGGACGAAGGCACGUGAACCCGAUUUUGGGACGACCCUGCGUAUGCCUGGCCGGGACUCAGCUCAGCAGGGCUGGGAGCCCAGCAAGCGAGUCUCCCCGAAGCAGGUGGGGGCUGCGAGCCAGCAGCAGCCGCAGCACGGAGCCGCAGGCAAAGCAGCACCUUGCAGCACCCCGUGAUGUCAUUCAGGUCGCCGUGCACAUGUAAACACGGCUGGCGCGGUGCAGCCAGGACACUCCACUUCCUCCCGCCAGCACAGUUGCACUUAGCUGGGUUUCUGCCUGAAAAGGGCAUGUUUUCUGGGUCAAGUGAAAGUGCUGGGAGCCUGGCUCCAGUGCGAACAUCACCAGCCAGGGGAACCGUAUCCAUGAUGGAAGUCCAUCCGCGGGACAGCCCUCGCCAGCCUGGAGCAAGAGCUCCAAGAGGGCUGCCGGUAUCCUGCUGCGUGUGCAUGUCCUGCUUCUUCAGCUGCCGGAGCUGCAGAAGUGAGAAUUAGAUUAGUGUUGCAAAACGAAAACAUCUCAUCACAACAGAUCAAACAACCCAGAUCUGCUCUUUUUUUGUGGAAGAAGAAAACCAGAAAAAGUACCCUUAACUGUAGAACUUUCCACUUCUGACUGCAGAGGUUUCAUACCAAAGUGCGAGUGCAAUAGCGUGAGACAUUCACGGCCAUGCAAUGAGGGCAGAAUGUAGAGGCAUUUGUGUCUUAAUCAAAUCAACUAACCUGUCUGCUGACGGCCAUGCCAGAAAAAUCCAGGACUCUGGAAUGAUAUUCCUUUGCUUCUCAGUCCUGUCAAGAUGAACAUCUUUUUCCUAGAAAUGCCAUGUUUAGCUUCAUCCAGCUACAAGUAAUAAUGUGCACACUUCAUUAUGUCCUUACUGCAACAGCCUCAGAAAUACAGACUCUAUUUAAAAUGUAAAAACCAGUAGUUAAAGUGUAUUUAUUUACUACAAUUUUUUUUAAAUUUCAUAUUCUGAAAACAACGUUGCAGUAGGAGCUGUCUCCCUGCAAUAUAAUAAAUAAAUAAAUAUAAUAAAUAAAUA